rnacentral:tRNA from 1 species
GCCUGAGUGGCUCAGUCAGUUAAGCAUCUGACUUUGGCUCAGGUCAUGAUCUCAUGGUUCAUGGGUUCAAGCCCCACAUCGGGCU